AUGCAGCUGCCGCCGUCCUACCCAGCCGUGCCGCCGCAGGUCUACUACCACUCGUUCGGCCUACACCUCAAUCCAAACCUCUAUCCCAGCGGUACGGUGUGCCUGAGCCUGUUCAACACCUUCGACGGCGAGGGCACGGAGGUCUGGUCGCCGGGAACGUCAAGCCUGCUCCAGGUCGUCGUCUCCCUUCAAGCACUUGUCCUCAACGACCAACCCUACUAUAAUGAGGCCAGCUUCGAGUCCCUGAUCAAUACACCGGAGGGCCAUCGCAACGUGUUCCCCUACUACGAGAACGUGUUCCUGCUCAGCUCGCGGACCAUGCUACACCUGGUGCGCCGACCGCCCCAGGGGUUCAAGGGGUUCGUGAAGGACCACUUCCGCCGUCGGGGGAGGUACGUGCUCAGGAUGUGUGAGGCAUACCUGAAAGGAUGCGUGCCUGUUGAAGAGGGGGGCAUGGAACUACCCUGCUGGCCGGCUUCAAGAUCGCGCUUGCCAAUGUGGUGCCGAGGCUCGUGGCUGCCUUCACAAUGA
rnacentral:rRNA from 1 species